rnacentral:rRNA from 1 species
AUUGACCGCUGGCGGCAGGCCUAACACAUGAAAGUCGCGCGAGCGACGGACGGGUGAGUAAUGACUGGGAAACUGCCUGAUGGAGGGGGAUAACUUCUGGAAACGGUAGCUAAUACCGCAUACCAUCAGCAGUGCCCAGAUGGGAUUCGCUAGUAGAUUGGGUAACGGCUCACCUAAGCGACGAUGCCUAGCUGGUUUGACAGGAUGACCAGCCAAACCGGAACUGGGACACGGUCCAGACUCCUACGGGAGGCAGCAGUGGGGAAUAUUGCACAAUGGGCGCAAGGCUGAUGCAGCCAUGCCGCGUGUGUAAAGAAGGCCUUCGGGGUGUAAAGCACUGUCAGCGGGGAAGCGUUACCCACAGAAGAAGCACCGGCUAACUCCGUGCCAGCAGCCGCGGUAAUUC